rfam:Natronorubrum sulfidifaciens JCM 14089 contig_46, whole genome shotgun sequence.
UGAACGUGGCUACUGUGCCAGCUGGUGGAUCGCUCGGCUUGAGAGCUGAAGACGGACGUGCCAAGCUGCGAUAAGCCCAAGGGAGCCGCACGGAGGCAAAGAACUUGGGAUCUCCGAAUGGGAAUCCCCACCGCAAUUGCUUCGCGCAAUGGGGAACGUCGAGAAUUGAAACAUCUUAGUAUCGACAGGAAAAGAAAACGAACGUGAUGUCGUUAGUAAUGGCGAAUGAACGCGACACAGUCCAAACCGAAGCCUUCGGGCAAUGUGGUGUUCGGACUGACGAUCACUUCUCGAAAGANUCGUUAGUAAUGGCGAAUGAACGCGACACAGUCCAAACCGAAGCCUUCGGGCAAUGUGGUGUUCGGACUGACGAUCACUUCUCGAAAGAUGACAGGAAGUCUCUUGGAAUAGAGCACGAAACAGGGUGACAGUCCCGUAGUGUCGUCGAGUACGGAACGAGUCAGCUCCAGAGUAUCGGGGGUUGGAUAUCCCUCGUGAAGAUCGCGGGCAUCGACCGCGAAGACUAAACACUCCUCNCCCGUAUUGAAUGAAUCAGGUGCGAACCUGUAGUAAGCCGUAUGGGAAGCCGGUGUUCUGUCGUACGUUUUGAAAAACGAACCAGAGAGUGUGCCUGUUUGACGAGUCUAACCGGAUCAUCCGGGAAGGCGUAGGGAAACCGAUAUGACCGCAGUGCUUUGCACCAGGGUCACCGUGUUCAAGCGCGGGGAGUCAAACGGGCACGACCCGAAACCGGACGAUCUNGAAAGGCCCAUCGAGUCCGGAAACAGCUGGUUCCAACCGAAACAUGUCGAAGCAUGACCUCUGCCGAGGUAGUUCGUGGGGUAGAGCAACGGAUUGGGGGACCGCACUCCGAGAGGAGUGCGCCCCCCUGUCCAACUCCAAACCUACGAACGCCGUUAGACGCAGGGAGUCCGGUGCGCGGGGUAAGCUUGUGUACCGUGAGGGAGACAACCCAGAGCUGGGUUAAGGUCCCCAAGUGUGGACUAAGUGCGAUCGAAGGUGGUCUCAAGCCCUAGACAGCCGGGAGGUGAGCUUAGAAGCAGCUACCCUCUAAGAAAAGCGUAACAGCUUACCGGCCGAGGNGAGAGAUCAUGUGGACCGUGCAGCAACGAAAAUUCUGGUCAUAGUAGCAGCGUUAGUCGGGUUAGAACCCCGACGGCCGAACGAGUAAGGGUUCCUCAGCAAUGCUGAUCAGCUGAGGGUUAGCCGGUCCUAAGUCAGCCCGUAAGUCGAAGCUGACAACAGGGAGAUAGGUUAAUAUUCCUAUGCCAGUGUGCACUCAAAGCCGACGCUUUGGGGCCGCCUCUGCCGGGNAGCACACUGUCCGUACCGAGAUCCGACACAGGUACUCGUGGCGGCGAAAGCCAAGGUCUGUCGGGAGCAACCGACGUUAGGGAAUUCGGCAAGUUAGUCCCGUACGUUCGCAAUAAGGGAUGCCUGCCUCGGAAAGAGGCAGGUCGCAGUGACUCGGGCGCUCCGACUGUCUAGUAACAACAUAGGGGACCGCAAAUCCGAAAGGACUCGUACGGUCACUGAAUCCUGCCCAGUGCGGGUAUCUGAACACCCCUUACAAGGGGACGAAGGACCCGUUAACGGCGGGGGUAACUAUGACCCUCUUAAGGUAGCGUAGUACCUUGCCGCUUUAGUAGCGGCUUGCAUGAAUGGAUCAACGAGAGCGCCACUGUCCCAACGUUGGGCCCGGUGAACUGUACGUUCCAGUGCGGAGUCUGGAGACCCCCAAGGGGAAGCGAAGACCCUAUAGAGCUUUACUGCAGGCUGUCACUGAGACGUGGUCGCCAUUGUGCAGCAUAGGUAGGAGCCGNCAUUGAAAUACUACCCGAUGGUGACUGCGACUCUCACUCCUGGCGGAGGACACUGGUAGCCGGGCAGUUUGACUGGGGCGGUACGCGCUUGAAAAGAUAUCGAGCGCGCCCCAAGAUUUCCUCCCUCGGGUCGGAGACCCGAGGAAGAGCGCAAGAGCAAAAGGAAGUCUGACAGUGUCCGGCACAACGACGGACGCUGACGCGAAAGCGUGGUCUAGCGAACCAAUUAGGCUGCUUGAUGCGGCCAAUUGCUGACAGAAAAGCUACCUUAGGGAUAACAGAGUCGUCACCCGCAAGAGCACAUAUCGACCGGGUGGCUUGCUACCUCGAUGUCGGUUCCCUCCAUCCUGCCCGUGCAGAAGCGGGCAAGGGUGAGG